GACGAACGCUGGCAGCGUGCUUAACACAUGCAAGUCGAGCGGUAAGGCUCCUUCGGGGGUACUCGAGCGGCGAACGGGUGAGUAACACGUGAGUAAUCUGCCCUUCACUUGGGGAUAACUUCCGGAAACGGUGGCUAAUACCCGAUAUGACCUCUUCUCGCAUGAGAUGGGGGUGGAAUGUUUUUUCGGAGGGGGAUGUGCUCGCGGCCUAUCAGCUUGUUGGUGGGGUAAUGGCCUACCAAGGCUUCGACGGGUAGCCGGCCUGAGAGGGUGACCGGCCACACUGGGACUGAGACACGGCCCAGACUCCUACGGGAGGCAGCAGUGGGGAAUAUUGGACAAUGGGCGGAAGCCUGAUCCAGCAACGCCGCGUGAGGGAUGACGGCCUUCGGGUUGUAAACCUCUUUCAGUACCGACGAAGCGAGAGUGACGGUAGGUACAGAAGAAGCACCGGCCAACUACGUGCCAGCAGCCGCAGUAAGAC
rnacentral:rRNA from 1 species